UGGCUCAGGAUGAACGCUAGCUACAGGCUUAACACAUGCAAGUCGAGGGGCAUCAGGAAGAAAGCUUGCUUUCUUUGCUGGCGACCGGCGCACGGGUGAGUAACACGUAUCCAACCUGCCCUUUACUCGGGGAUAGCCUUUCGAAAGAAAGAUUAAUACCCGAUAGCAUAAUGAUUCCGCAUGGUUUCAUUAUUAAAGGAUUCCGGUAAAGGAUGGGGAUGCGUUCCAUUAGGUUGUUGGUGAGGUAACGGCCCACCAAGCCUUCGAUGGAUAGGGGUUCUGAGAGGAAGGUCCCCCACAUUGGAACUGAGACACGGUCCAAACUCCUACGGGAGGCAGCAGUGAGGAAUAUUGGUCAAUGGGCGCUAGCCUGAACCAGCCAAGUAGCGUGAAGGAUGAAGGCUCUAUGGGUCGUAAACUUCUUUUAUAUAAGAAUAAAGUGCAGUAUGUAUACUGUUUUGUAUGUAUUAUAUGAAUAAGGAUCGGCUAACUCCGUGCCAGCAGCCGCGGUAAUACGGAGGAUCCGAGCGUUAUCCGGAUUUAUUGGGUUUAAAGGGAGCGUAGGUGGACUGGUAAGUCAGUUGUGAAAGUUUGCGGCUCAACCGUAAAAUUGCAGUUGAUACUGUCAGUCUUGAGUACAGUAGAGGUGGGCUGAAUUCGUGGUGUAGCGGUGAAAUGCUUAGAUAUCACGAAGAACUCCGAUUGCGAAGGCAGCUCACUGGACUGCAACUGACACUGAUGCUCGAAAGUGUGGGUAUCAAACAGGAUUAGAUACCCUGGUAGUCCACACAGUAAACGAUGAAUACUCGCUGUUUGCGAUAUACAGUAAGCGGCCAAGCGAAAGCAUUAAGUAUUCCACCUGGGGAGUACGCCGGCAACGGUGAAACUCAAAGGAAUUGACGGGGGCCCGCACAAGCGGAGGAACAUGUGGUUUAAUUCGAUGAUACGCGAGGAACCUUACCCGGGCUUAAAUUGCAGUGGAAUGAUGUGGAAACAUGUCAGUGAGCAAUCACCGCUGUGAAGGUGCUGCAUGGUUGUCGUCAGCUCGUGCCGUGAGGUGUCGGCUUAAGUGCCAUAACGAGCGCAACCCUUAUCUUUAGUUACUAACAGGUUAUGCUGAGGACUCUAGAGAGACUGCCGUCGUAAGAUGUGAGGAAGGUGGGGAUGACGUCAAAUCAGCACGGCCCUUACGUCCGGGGCUACACACGUGUUACAAUGGGGGGUACAGAAGGCAGCUAGCGGGUGACCGUAUGCUAAUCCCAAAAUCCUCUCUCAGUUCGGAUCGAAGUCUGCAACCCGACUUCGUGAAGCUGGAUUCGCUAGUAAUCGCGCAUCAGCCACGGCGCGGUGAAUACGUUCCCGGGCCUUGUACACACCGCCCGUCAAGCCAUGGGAGCCGGGGGUACCUGAAGUACGUAACCGCAAGGAUCGUCCUAGGGUAAA
rnacentral:rRNA from 1 species